rnacentral:rRNA from 1 species
GACGUAGGGCGCGAGCGUUGUCCGGAUUUAUUGGGCGUAAAGAGCUCGUAGGCGGCUUGUCGCGUCGUCCGUGAAAACCCACAGCUCAACUGUGGGCUUGCGGUCGAUACGGGCAGGCUAGAGUUCGGUAGGGGGGACUGGAAUUCCUGGUGUAGCGGUGAAAUGCGCAGAUAUCAGGAGGAACACCGGUGGCGAAGGCGGUUCUCUGGGAAUGUUCUGACGCUGAGGAGCGAAAGUGUGGGGAGCGAACAGG